rnacentral:tRNA from 1 species
UGCCUGUAGCUGAAUGGUUAGAGGCAGCCGCUCAUAACGGUCUGGUUGCAGGUUCGAGUCCUGCCGGGCCCACCA